rnacentral:lncRNA from 1 species
UUCAGGUAAGAGAGGUCUUAUAAAGACAAUACAUUCUAAUUCGAAAUAAUGAAAUCUCGUUUUUAAAGGAGCCAAAUUGAGCUAAGCACGAAUUAGAAAUACUUUAGUCUCUAAGAAUAAAUUACAACAACAUAAUUUUGAUAGAAAAUGAAGAAAAAUUAAGAGAAUUUGGUUUGCGAAUCUAUUAAAAUUGGAAGGGUUAAUCAUUAUAUGAUGCUUGAACUUGCUUGCAAACUUGCUCGCAAGGUGGCAUACAAUCGGACUGAGUGGCGCCUUCCACUUGCAAGCAUGUCGGUAUGCAUUCUUCCAUACAAUCAGCUGGAAUUGCUCCUGCACACAUAUUAGUCGUUAAUGCCAUUGUUACAACCGUGGCGAACACGAACAUGCUUAACGAUUUGUUUGCAGCCAUGACUGAUGACUAUAUUGAUGUAUGUGUGGGUGUUCUUUAAUUUACAGCUUUUGGUUUUU